rnacentral:tRNA from 1 species
AGUUAAAUACUUAAGAAAGUAUUAUGUUUUGAAAGCAUAAAUAAAGAGGUUUAAUUCCUCUAUUAACUU